rnacentral:lncRNA from 1 species
GAACCAAAAACACACACCCUCCUUAAACUGUGAAAGGAGCUAUUUGAAAGUAACAGAACCCACUAAUACUUGUGUUGAUUAACAGUUCAAAACUACAUCUCUACUGGUGACAUCAUUUUAUUUGUACGCAGAGUGACAGGACAUUCCUUGGUUCUACGCACACUCCUACAACUCAGGGAGGACGCGAACUGGCAUCGGCAGAGCUUUUCAGAGCAAGCAGGGACACACCUGAACUUCGUGCACCAUCAACUCUCCAUGGCAGUAGAGAUCCAGUGCAUCUGAGCACUAUGCUUUCCCGUAGUGCUUCCAAUUUGCCUCCUAUUCCCGGGCACCACUACUGAUUCUUCAAGACUCUCUGAGAAUCUGACCAGUGACCAUCCUGCAUCUUCUUUUUAUCCUCUGUACGUAGUCUACACUCUAUGCUUUGUUACUUG